rnacentral:lncRNA from 1 species
ACCACUUGUGGGGGCUGAGGUGGGAGGAUUGCCUGAGGCCAGGAGCUGGGGGCUGCAGUGAGCUAGGAUUGUGCUGCUAUACUCUAGCCUAGACAACAGAGUGAGACCUUAUCUCUAAAAACAAAACAAACAAACAAAAACCACCUCAAUGCAUUAUCCUUAUUCUUAUUCAUUUAUUAAUGUUAUUGAUUAUGCCACAGACUAGGGAAAAUCUCAUCACUUACAACUCUUGCUUGUGGCUAGGAAGGGAAUGAGGGAGAGCAGGCAGGGGCUACGGGACUAAAGGAGGGUUUUCCUAGACAGGUGGAGUCUGGAGCAUGUAUUUAGGUGAAGGAAAUGAGUUAAUUUUGAGGGGAGAGACCAAAGUUACUGGAAAGAGAGGAGAGCUGACUGACAGAUAACAACACUAAUCAGAAUUCUUGGUGGCAAACAACAGAAACCCAAUUCAAACAACCUUAAGCCAAAAGAGAAAUUUUUGGCUCACGUAACUGAAAACUCCAAGGCUUUAAAAACAAUGUUGUCAGGGCUCUAGCUCUGUAUUUCUUGGCAUCAUUAGCCUCUCCUUGGCUUUGUUCUCAGGCAGACUCACCCUGUAUAAGAUGGUCAGGCUUAUACUGGGCAGAUAGGUGCAAUCCCAAAGAAAAUAACGAAAUACCAUUAGUUGUUGAACGAAUCAACCCAGAGCUGAAAGUUGGUAAGAAGGCUUUCUCAGGUCCUUUGCCUAACAGCAGUUUAUCCCUUACUAAGUUAGGUGACUCACCUGAAGUAGCUCUAGCACGUUCUAAUUAGUCUGUACCUGUCCAGUUUACGAGGCCAGCAUCGCCAAGUGUCAGAUGUUGCUCCAUGCACUCAUACUUCUCCUGUCUGUGACAGGAGUGUUUCCCCAGGUGGCCAGCCUCAGGUCUAA